rnacentral:tRNA from 1 species
GGCGGCAUAGCCAAGUAGCAAGGCAGCGGUCUGCAAAAUCGCUAUCCCGGGUGCAACUCCCGGUGCCGCCU